rnacentral:rRNA from 1 species
AGAACGAACGCUGGUGGCGUGCUUAUACAUGCAAGUCGAGCGGUGCAGCAAUGCGAUAGCGGCGAACGGGUGAGUAACGCGUAAGCAAUCUGCCCCCUGUUCGGGAAUAGCCGUGCCAACGCGCGGGUAAUACCGGAUAUCGUGGCUCCCCACCUGGGGAGUUGACAAAAGAUUUAUCGACAGGGGAUGAGCUUGCGUCCGAUUAGCUAGUUGGCGGGGCAACGGCCCACCAAGGCGACGAUCGGUAGCCGGCCUGAGAGGGUGAUCGGCCACAUUGGGACUGAGAUACGGCCCAGACUCCUACGGGAGGCAGCAGUAGGGAAUAUUGCACAAUGGGGGAAACCCUGAUGCAGCAACGCCACGUGUGGGGAAGAAGCAUUUCGGUGUGUAAACCACUGUCGUGAGGGAAUAAGGCAUAUUUUAGGGUAUGUUGAAUGUACCUCGAGAGGAAGCACCGGCAAACUUCGUGCCAGCAGCAGC